rnacentral:rRNA from 1 species
UGGGCAACCUGCCCUCAGCACGGGGAUAACCCCGGGAAACCGGAGCUAAUACCCGAUACGACCUCUACGGGCAUCCGUGGAGGUGGAAAGUGGGGUUAGUGGCUGAGGAUGGGCCCGCGGCCUAUCAGCUUGUUGGUGGGGUAACGGCCCACCAAGGCGACGACGGGUAGCCGGCCUGAGAGAGCGACCGGCCACACUGGGACUGAGACACGGCCCAGACUCCUACGGGAGGCA